rnacentral:misc_RNA from 1 species
GAAUGAAGAACGCAGCGAAAUGCGAUAAGUAAUGUGAAUUGCAGAAUUCAGUGAAUCAUCGAAUCUUUGAACGCACAUUGCGCCCCCUGGUAUUCCGGGGGGCAUGCCUGUCCGAGCGUCAUUACAACCCUCAAGCUCAGCUUGGUGUUGGGCCCCGCCGCCCCGGCGGGCCCUAAAGUCAGUGGCGGUGCCGUCCGGCUCCGAGCGUAGUAAUUCUUCUCGCUCUGGAGGUCCGGUCGUGUGCUCGCCAGCAACCCCCAAUUUUUUUCAGGUUGACCUCGGAUCAGGUAGGGAUACCCGCUGAACUUAAGCAUAUCAAUAAGCGGAGGA